rnacentral:misc_RNA from 1 species
AGCAGCCAAUAACAAUUGAAGUCACUCAAUUGCCAACGAUAAGACGAAAAUUUUCAUCUAAACCAAUGGAAGUGAACAUGGCACAGAGCCUUGGUCCAAUAAUAAAGCUCCAUAUCAAGAUCAACCCAAUCAGCGUCGACUCCAAAGGAUGUUGCUGGUAUUGGCAUUUCCAUUUCCGUGCCAACUUGGAGUUAUUCCACCAACAACCUGCAAUGAUUUCCCUCAGAAUAAUAUCUUUCCCAUUCAAUUACUAGGUUGAAAGAUAUA